rnacentral:rRNA from 1 species
UACAGAGGGUGCAAGCGUUGUUCGGAAUUAUUGGGCGUAAAGCGCGUGUAGGCGGCUUGGCAAGUCGGGUGUGAAAGCCCUCAGCUCAACUGAGGAAGUGCGCCCGAAACUGCUUUGCUUGAGUCCUGGAGAGGGUCGCGGAAUUCCCCAAGUAGAGGUGAAAUUCGUAGAUAUGGGGAGGAACACCGGUGGCGAAGGCGGCGACCUGGACAGUAACUGACGCUGAGACGCGAAAGCGUGGGUAGCAAACAGG